UUCUUAUUGGAUGAUGAUUGUCACUUGUCAUGUUUUGAUUGGAUGUCAACUCCAUGAAAGAUGAAAUGAAUUGUUAUUUUUAUUAACCAAUCAGAAUAUGACACAUGACAAUCCUCAUCC
rnacentral:pre_miRNA from 1 species